rnacentral:rRNA from 1 species
AAUCCAUAGGUUAAUGAGGCGAACCGGGGGAACUGAAACAUCUAAGUACCCCGAGGAAAAGAAAUCAACCGAGAUUCCCCCAGUAGCGGCGAGCGAACGGGGAGGAGCCCAGAGCCUGAAUCAGCAUGUGUGUUAGUGGAAGCGUCUGGAAAGGCGCGCGAUACAGGGUGACAGCCCCGUACACAAAAGCGCAUGUGCUGUGAGCUCGAUGAGUAGGGCGGGACACGUGGUAUCCUGUCUGAAUAUGGGGGGACCAUCCUCCAAGGCUAAAUACUCCUGACUGACCGAUAGUGAACCAGUACCGUGAGGGAAAGGCGAAAAGAACCCCGGCGAGGGGAGUGAAAAAGAACCUGAAACCGUGUACGUACAAGCAGUGGGAGCCCCACCACCAAAGCAUUCUCUGGUGUUGAAGGCCCUGCAAAGCAGCAUCGCGGUGGCGGAGCGUCGUUU